rnacentral:rRNA from 1 species
CAGCCGCCGCGGUAACACGGAGGGUGCAAGCGUUAAUCGGAAUUACUGGGCGUAAAGCGCACGCAGGCGGUCUGUCAAGUCGGAUGUGAAAUCCCCGGGCUCAACCUGGGAACUGCAUUCGAAACUGGCAGGCUAGAGUCUUGUAGAGGGGGGUAGAAUUCCAGGUGUAGCGGUGAAAUGCGUAGAGAUCUGGAGGAAUACCGGUGGCGAAGGCGGCCCCCUGGACAAAGACUGACGCUCAGGUGCGAAAGCGUGGGGAGCAAACAGGAUUAGAUACCCCUGUAGUCCCUGUCUCUUAUAC